GUACGCGAGCUGGGUUCAGAACGUCGUGAGACAGUUCGGUCCCUAUCCGUCGUGGGCGCAGGAAAUUUGAGAGGAUCUGUCCUUAGUACGAGAGGACCGGGAUGGACAUACCUCUGGUGUACCAGUUGUUCUGCCAAGAGCACCGCUGGGUAGCUACGUAUGGAUUAGAUAAUCGCUGAAAGCAUCUAAGUGAGAAACUAACCUCGAGAUGAGAUUUCCCAUUCGUCAGAAGUAAGACCCCUGAGAGACGAUCAGGUAGAUAGGCUAGAAGUGGAAGUGUAGUGAUGCAUGGAGCGGACUAGUACUAAUAGGUCGAGGACUUAACCAAG
rnacentral:rRNA from 1 species